AACGAACGCUGGCGGCAGGCUUAACACAUGCAAGUCGAACGCAUCCUUCGGGGUGAGUGGCAGACGGGUGAGUAACGCGUGGGAACGUGCCCUUCAGUUCGGGAUAACCCAGGGAAACUUGGGCUAAUACCGGAUACGUGCGAGAGCAGAAAGAUUUAUCGCUGAAGGAUCGGCCCGCGUCUGAUUAGCUAGUUGGUGGGGUAAUGGCCCACCAAGGCGACGUUCAAUAGCUGGUCUGAGAGGAUGAUCAGCCACAUUGGGACUGAGACACGGCCCAAACUCCUACGGGAGGCAGCAGUGGGGAAUAUUGGGCAAUGGGCGCAAGCCUGAUCCAGCCAUGCCGCGUGAGUGAUGAAGGCCUUAGGGUUGUAAAGCUCUUUCGUCCGGGACGAUAAUGACGGUACCGGAAGAAGAAGCCCCGGCUAACUUCGUGCCAGCCGCCGCCGUAA
rnacentral:rRNA from 1 species